ACCAUUUCUGCAUUCAUUGAUUACUCUCUCUCUCUCUCUCUCAAGAUCUCCAUAGUCAAAACCCUCAAAUAAUUACUCAUCUUUGUUAGUUUUUACCUCAUAAUUAUACCAAUCUUGCACCCCCCCACUUCAUUAAUUAGGGUUAAACCCUAUUUAAUCAUCUGGGUUUUCUUUACUAAACCAUAAAGAUUCUUCCUUUUUGUUGAUAAUUGAUUCCCCCAUCUGGGUUUAGUUCAUUAGUUGAAUCUUGAUUCUCACACACUCACUGUGUGUUUGUGUUCUUGUCAAUUAUACAAAUCUAGCACCCCCACUUCAUUAAUCCGGUGGUGGUGGCGGUGCACGGUUUCUAGCUGGUGGUGGGUUCGACAGUGGCGGUGGAAGUGGGAGGGAAGGUGGAGGAGGAAGCUGUUGUUUUAGUCUGGGAGAGGGCUGUGGUGGUUGCAAGGUGGCGGUAGGUGGAUGUAUUGUGGCGGUAGGUGGAGGUAGAGUGGUGGUGGCUGGAGUUACUGGCGAUGGUGGAGGUGGGUCAACCCGAUUCUUAACUUCUUGUGGGUCCACAAAAUCGGCCAUCAGAAGACGUCCCCCCUCGUAAACGUGAUUUCCCUCAUUGUUAGUUUGUGCAAUUUUGGUUUUUUUUUUUUAGAAUCCUCUGCAUAAAAUUUAGGGAUUUGGGGUCAAUUGUUUAGAACUUCAUAUUUGGGGGUGGGUGUGGCGAUGGCAGCACCCGGGUGGUGAAUGGUGGGGCAGCGGUUUGUGGGGAUUUAGAGAUGGUGGUUGUGAUGGUGUUGAGUGGGUGGUGGAUGGUGGGGCAAGGUGGUGUGGGGUGGAUGGUGGUUUGGGUGGUGGUGGUGGUACGAGUGUGAGGGAUAUGGUGGCAGGUUGUUGAAGAGAAUUGUUGCAGGUUGUUCAAAAUGGGAUUGAUUUGGGGAAGAAAGGAUUAGGGUGAAAAGACAAUUUUACCCUCAUGUGCAUUGCACAUGACCAGAUUUGACAGAAAAAUUUAACUGUGUUAGGGCUAAAGGACAAAACGUGUAUGAUUUAAAAACAUA
rnacentral:lncRNA from 1 species